rnacentral:rRNA from 1 species
AUGUUUAACUGCAAGCCCGCCGCUACGCCUGUUGAUACGAAGGCCAAGCUUUGUGCCAUGGAUGGUUCUCCUGCUUCAGAUGCUGCUUUCUAUCGGUCUAUCGUUGGUACUCUCCAGUACCUCACUCUGACUCAACUGGUAUGCCGUGCAGCAGGUGUGUCUUCAUAUGCAUGCUCCUCGAGACGUUCACUGGGCUGUCGUCAAGCAGAUUCUCCGCUAUAUUUGUGGCACUAUCGAUCUUGGCGUCACGCUUCACACCUCCGCCGACACCGCCCUCACCGCCUACUCCGAUGCAGAUUGGGCGGGCUGCCUUGA